UCUCGAUAGCGUAAAAGUUAACACAAAUUUCUAUGGAGUUGGUACGUUUUCCUGCGUAUGUCGCUAGGGGGGCUGUUCCAACUGCAUACAAAUUUAAGUUAACUUUUACGCUAUCGA
rnacentral:pre_miRNA from 9 species